rnacentral:lncRNA from 1 species
AUGGAAAGGCGUUCAGCUGAGGCAAGAAGUGCAUUCCAGGCACUCUCACGUGAGACAGGAAGUGCAUUCGAGGCACUUUCACUUGACAGAGGAUGUGCAGUGGAGAUGCAUUUAGUUGAGACAGGAAGUGCUCUUGAGGCAGUACCACUUGAGACAGGAAGUGGAAUGGAAAGGCAUUCAGAUGAGACAGGAAGUGCAUUCGAGGCACUCUCACGUGACACAGGAAGUGCAUUCCAGGCACUCUCACGUGAGACAGGAAGUGCAUUCGAGGCACUCUCACGUGAGACAGGAAGUGCAUUCGAGGCACUCUCACGUGAGACAGGAAGUGCAUUCGAGGCACUCUCACGUGAGACAGGAAGUGCAUUCGAGGCACUCUCACGUGAGACAGGAAGUGCAUUCGAGACACUCUCACGUGAGACAGGAAGUGCAUUCGAGACACUCUCACGUGAGACAGGAAGUACAGUGGGAACGCGUUCCGUCGAGUGUAAUGCUGAGCUUGAGAGCGUAAUGAGAGGUUCUGUUGGUCUGCAGGAGGAUGAAGUGUGUUCCGGACGCUGGAGUGAACCGACGGAGCUUGUGCAGCUGCUGAAGUCGGUUUGAUUAGAUUCUUUUGCGUCUGCCCGAGCGAUACCAGACAGAAAACACUUGUUACUGUCCUCGAAGGUGAUGAGGAACUCUGGGUAGAUCUGACACCUGUCGAACACCACGAAAACAGACGGGUCACGUGGAUUAUCGACACAGCUGUCGUACAGACUUCCUUCAGCGUCUCUGAGCGGAGGGCGGCGGAGACGAGCCUCUCCUCUGGUGUAGUACCCGACCAACACCCUGCACGCGAACAUCAGCCUCACGUCACACCCGUCCGCCCGCGCAAUCCAGUACCUGGCGUCCUUCGAGAAGUAGAUCCCUGUCAGAACGGAGGAAAACUACGUCAGUUUGUGAACACGAAGCUUAAACUCUACAUACACUGCUGCUCGGGAUCAGUAAGACUCCUACAAACACAAAACAGUAACACACCGAAUGUUAAUACAAAAUUAAAUAAUGGUUUCUAUUUCAAUAUACUGUAAAAUAUAACUUAUUCCUGUAUUUUCAGCAUCUUUCCUCUAGUCUUCAGUGUCACAUGAUCCUUCAGAAAUCAUUCUAAUAUGCUGAUUUAUUUAUUUAUGAACCCGUGAUACUUUUAAGGAUUCUCUGAUGAAUAAAACGUUUAAAAAGAACAGCAUUUACUCAAAAUAUAAAUCUAUGCUUUCACUUUGUAUCGAUUUAACACGUCCUGGCUGAAUAAAAGCAUUCUCAGAAAAGAUUUAUAUUUUAAAUAUAUGCUGUUCUUUUCAACUUAUAAUAUAAUAUAAUAAAUCAUCAUAUUAGAAUGAUUUCUGAAGAUCAUGUGACACUGGAAACAGCAUUUACUCAAAUAUAAAUCUAUGCUUCACUUUGUAUCGAUUUAACACGUCCUGGCUGAAUAAAAGCAUUCUCAGAAAAGUAUUUAUAUUUUUAAAUAUAUGCUGUUCUUUUCAACUUAUAAUAUAAUAUAAUAAAUCAUCAUAUUAGAAUGAUUUCUGAAGAUCAUGUGACACUGAAGACUGGAGUAAUGAUGCUGAAAAUACAGCUGCACAUCACAGAAAUAAAUUUGAUUUAACUGUAUAUUAAAACAGAAAAUGUUAUUUUACGUCGUAAUAAAUUGUCACAUUUUUUCUGUAUUUUUGAUCAAAUAAAUGCAGCCUUGAUGAGCAGAAGAAACUAAUUUAUAAAAGGUUAAAAAUCUGACUGCUGCCGAACAGCAGUGUACAGUGGACCGUGUGGUGUUCAGGAAUCAGGAACACACCCCGUCCAUACGCUGCUGAAUCCGACGUCUCAAAGUCAAAGUUUCUCAGACAUGCAGCGUCGACGAGAGAGGAUUCGGUGGCGUGGAAUAAAAGCCGAUCGCCAAAUUUCUCCUGCUUGUUCGUCAUUUUCAUUCGCUCCUUUUUUCUGUGGAACAAUGCAUGUUUAUGCAAACUGAGAGAUGGAUGAUCUGCGCCAGGCGAUCAGCUCUGAUACCCACAUCAUGAAGUCUUCCCAGAGUUCCCUGUUCUGCACGCGCUCGAUCCGACGGACGGUAAACCCCCUCAGAGUCUGGCUGAAGCGCUCGUGGACUCUCACGUAAUCCCUGUGAGACGGCCAGAGACGCACUCUCUGCAGAGAAACAAGAGAUCAGGGGCCGGACGCACGGAAAGCUUCUACAGAAACAGGUUUCUCAAAAGAAGUGCAUCUUAAGAAUUUGAUGCAGUGAUAAAGGUGCACUUCAAGGAUCGUCUUUUUGCACUUCCUGCAGAUUACUCUAAUAAUCAUAAU